rnacentral:rRNA from 1 species
ACGUAUGGUGCAAGCGUUAUCCGGAUUUACUGGGUGUAAAGGGAGCGUAGACGGAUGGGCAAGUCUGAUGUGAAAACCUGGGGCUCAACCCCGGGACUGCAUUGGAAACUGUUCAUCUAGAGUGCUGGAGAGGUAAGUGGAAUUCCUAGUGUAGCGGUGAAAUGCGUAGAUAUUAGGAGGAACACCAGUGGCGAAGGCGGCUUACUGGACAGUAACUGACGUUGAGGCUCGAAAGCGUGGGGAGCAAACAG